CGGUGUCCGCAAGAUCUUUUAUCCAGAUUAAAAUAAUAGCAACACCGACAUCUUCCUGUUGGUGACCCCAGACCUUUGAUGAAACCGUGGUGUGCUGGACUGGUUGGCCCUGAUUAAUUUGCUGCCGAGCUGCACCUGGCCCCAGACUCGCAUGCAUCCAUGAUGCUGAAAUCCAAGAGGUCCCAGCGAUUCAUCAAGGCGCGGCGCAAUGUAUAAACAAUCAAAACUGCCUGAUGGGAACCAAGGGAAGAAGGGAAGUUCAGUGCUCAUUCAUCCCCUUUGAAUCAGCAGUGAGCCUGAAGCUGAGCCAAGGAGGGAUAGCGCUUCAAGAGAGGGGGCUGGGAGUGCAGCGAAAUAACUUUGAAGAUUAGCGGCGCGGAAUACUCCAUGUGCUCCGACAGCACCAAUAAUGAGGCCACCUUCAGCAAAUGAUUUCGCCAACUACUUGAAGAUCAUCUAUCCACAUUUGAAAUAGCGACGCUGUUUAGGAAGGAAGAAGGCAGUUGGCUCGCAGCACGCCGCUUCACUGGAAAAUCUAGUUGUGCAAGAGAACACCAGAUUUCCAGGUAAUCUGAUGUCAAUUCUGUGACCGUCCGGUUCCGGGAGGGCCAGCAGAUUGAAAUUGCAGCGCCAACCUUUUCCUGUUUGUGACAGCAGACCGAAUUCUGACUUGCUGACCCUGAUUAAUUGGAGCUGCACCUGGUCCCAUGCUCCCACAACCCACAUGCAUCCAUGAUGUUGAAACCCCAAGGAGGUCCGGUCCCGGCGAUCCAUCAAGGCGCGGUGGCACGUAAUGAAUGGACAGCCAUAACUGCCUGAUGGGAGCCAAGGAUAAGCCUUUUCUACGCCUUGUGCAGCGAAAGUCAAGUUCAGAAUGGAGGAGAGAGAGAGAGCAGGUUGUACAGCGAAAGAGGAAGCAGAUCUGAGAGGUUGUUCAUGGCCAGGAAGGAACUCGAGAUGUGCAUUGUUCCCGAUGCCCUCGGGGAUUGAUCCGUCGAGGUGGUUAGCUGCCAGGGACAAGGUGGUCAUCCAGGAGAGGUUCCCGAGUGACGACGGGAUGGUCCUCCUGGUGAGGCUGUUGUUGUAGAGCUGUAUAACACGCAGCGACGGCAUGUCGCCGAUCUCAGAAGGGCAAGGUACCUGAGGCGGCGGAGGAAGCCAAUGCUGGGAGGUAUCUCACCGUACAAGGAAUUUUCCAAGGGAAAGUGAUGCUCAGUGCUCAUCCCCUUUGAAUCAGCCAGAGUGUGAGCCUGAAGGCGCGGCAAGAAUCUGAGCCAAGGAGGGAUGAUGAUGCUUCACCAAUUAAAGUGGGCUGCAAAUGCAACAGAAGUACUCCCUCGUCCCAUAAUGUAAGACUUAUAUUAUGGGACGGAGGGAGUAGCUCUGAGUGCUGUCAUAUAUCACCUUUUUCCCUUUUCUUGAUUAUGCAUGAAACUCAUUUUUCUUGAGUUUUUUCUUCUAGUGUAGCACCUUUUUUUGCCACUCAUCUGGCAGUGUACUGGCCACUUUUUAAAUUUAUUAUUAUUAUUAAUAACUGUAAGGAUUUUUCCUUG